GUGCACAGUGAACACCCAGAGAUGCUAAUGUGGCUCCCUCUGGUCUCUAAUUACUGUGCUACAGCAAUUCUGAUCUUUUCCUCUGCAUUAGGAGAGCUUCACCUCUCCUAAUGCAUUCAGUUGAUCAGGACAAAC
ensembl:snoRNA